rnacentral:rRNA from 1 species
AAUUCGAUGCAACGCGAAGAACUUACCUGGUCUUGACAUCCCGGAGACCCUUAGGAAACUAGGGGGUGCUUCCAUCUGGAAGAAUCUGGAGACAGGUGCUGCAUGGCUGUCGUCAGCUCGUGUCGUGAGAUGUUGGGUUAAGUCCCGCAACGAGCGCAACCCUUGCCUUUAGUUGCCAGCAGUUCGGCUGGGCACUCUAAAGGGACUGCCGGUGUUAAACCGGAGGAAGGUGGGGAUGACGUCAAGUCCUCAUGGCCUUUAUGACCAGGGCUACACACGUACUACAAUGGCCGAUACAAAGGGCAGCGACACUGCGAGGUGAAGCCAAUCCCGUAAAAUCGGUCUCAGUCCGGAUUGCAGUCUGCAACUCGACUGCAUGAAGUUGGAAUCGCUAGUAAUCGCGGAUCAGCCAAGCCGCGGUGAAUACGUUCCCGGGCCUU